rnacentral:tRNA from 1 species
GAGAGAAUAGUUCAAGUGGUAGAACAAUUGGUGAAAGCCAAUAGAUAUGGGUUCGAUUCCUGUUUCUCUCU